rnacentral:rRNA from 1 species
UACGAAGGGGGCUAGCGUUGCUCGGAAUUACUGGGCGUAAAGCGCACGUAGGCGGCUUCUUAAGUCGGUGGUGAAAUCCUGGAGCUCAACUCCAGAACUGCCUUCGAUACUGGGAGCUCGAGUCCGGGAGAGGUGAGUGGAACUGCGAGUGUAGAGGUGAAAUUCGUAGAUAUUCGCAAGAACACCAGUGGCGAAGGCGGCUCACUGGCCCGGUACUGACGCUGAGGUGCGAAAGCGUGGGGAGCAA